UUUGGUUAAGUUAGAAAGGGCACACGGUGGAUGCCUUGACACUAGGAGUCGAUGAAGGACGGGACUAACGCCGAUAUGCUUCGGGGAGCUGUAAGUAAGCUUUGAUCCGAAGAUUUCCGAAUGGGGAAACCCACCAUACGUAAUGGUAUGGUAUCCUUAUCUGAAUACAUAGGGUAAGGAAGACAGACCCAGGGAACUGAAACAUCUAAGUACCUGGAGGAAGAGAAAGCAAAUGCGAUUUCCUGAGUAGCGGCGAGCGAAACGGAACAUAGCCCAAACCAAGAGGCUUGCCUCUUGGGGUUGUAGGACAUUCUAUACGGAGUUACAAAGGAACGAGGUAGACGAAGCGACCUGGAAAGGUCCGUCGUAGAGGGUAACAACCCCGUAGUCGAAACUUCGUUCUCUCUUGAAUGUAUCCUGAGUACGGCGGAACACGUGAAAUUCCGUCGGAAUCUGGGAGGACCAUCUCCCAAGGCUAAAUACUCCCUAGUGAUCGAUAGUGAACCAGUACCGUGAGGGAAAGGUGAAAAGCACCCCGGAAGGGGAGUGAAAGAGAUCCUGAAACCGUGUGCCUACAAAUAGUCAGAGCCCGUUAACGGGUGAUGGCGUGCCUUUUGUAGAAUGAACCGGCGAGUUACGAUCCCGUGCGAGGUUAAGCUGAAGAGGCGGAGCCGCAGCGAAAGCGAGUCUGAAUAGGGCGUUUAGUACGUGGUCGUAGACCCGAAACCAGGUGAUCUACCCAUGUCCAGGGUGAAGUUCAGGUAACACUGAAUGGAGGCCCGAACCCACGCACGUUGAAAAGUGCGGGGAUGAGGUGUGGGUAGCGGAGAAAUUCCAAUCGAACCUGGAGAUAGCUGGUUCUCCCCGAAAUAGCUUUAGGGCUAGCCUUAAGUGUAAGAGUCUUGGAGGUAGAGCACUGAUUGGACUAGGGGUCCUCAUCGGAUUACCGAAUUCAGUCAAACUCCGAAUGCCAAUGACUUAUCCUUAGGAGUCAGACUGCGAGUGAUAAGAUCCGUAGUCAAAAGGGAAACAGCCCAGACCGCCAGCUAAGGUCCCAAAGUGUGUAUUAAGUGGAAAAGGAUGUGGAGUUGCUUAGACAACUAGGAUGUUGGCUUAGAAGCAGCCACCAUUUAAAGAGUGCGUAAUAGCUCACUAGUCGAGUGACUCUGCGCCGAAAAUGUACCGGGGCUAAAUACACCACCGAAGCUGCGGAUUGAUACCAAUGGUAUCAGUGGUAGGGGAGCGUUCUAAGGACAGUGAAGUCAGACCGGAAGGACUGGUGGAGUGCUUAGAAGUGAGAAUGCCGGUAUGAGUAGCGAAAGACGGGUGAGAAUCCCGUCCACCGAAUGCCUAAGGUUUCCUGAGGAAGGCUCGUCCGCUCAGGGUUAGUCAGGACCUAAGCCGAGGCCGACAGGCGUAGGCGAUGGACAACAGGUUGAUAUUCCUGUACCACCUCUUUAUCGUUUGAGCAAUGGAGGGACGCAGAAGGAUAGAAGAAGCGUGCGAUUGGUUGUGCACGUCCAAGCAGUUAGGCUGAUAAGUAGGCAAAUCCGCUUAUCGUGAAGGCUGAGCUGUGAUGGGGAAGCUCCUUAUGGAGCGAAGUCUUUGAUUCCCCGCUGCCAAGAAAAGCUUCUAGCGAGAUAAAAGGUGCCUGUACCGCAAACCGACACAGGUAGGCGAGGAGAGAAUCCUAAGGUGUGCGAGAGAACUCUGGUUAAGGAACUCGGCAAAAUGACCCCGUAACUUCGGGAGAAGGGGUGCUUUCUUAACGGAAAGCCGCAGUGAAUAGGCCCAAGCGACUGUUUAGCAAAAACACAGCUCUCUGCGAAGCCGUAAGGCGAAGUAUAGGGGGUGACACCUGCCCGGUGCUGGAAGGUUAAGGAGAGGGGUUAGCGUAAGCGAAGCUCUGAACUGAAGCCCCAGUAAACGGCGGCCGUAACUAUAACGGUCCUAAGGUAGCGAAAUUCCUUGUCGGGUAAGUUCCGACCCGCACGAAAGGUGUAACGAUUUGGGCACUGUCUCAACCAGAGACUCGGUGAAAUUAUAGUACCUGUGAAGAUGCAGGUUACCCGCGACAGGACGGAAAGACCCCGUGGAGCUUUACUGUAGCCUGAUAUUGAAUUUUGGUACAGUUUGUACAGGAUAGGCGGGAGCCUUUGAAACCGGAGCGCUAGCUUCGGUGGAGGCGCUGGUGGGAUACCGCCCUGACUGUAUUGAAAUUCUAACCUACGGGUCUUAUCGACCCGGGAGACAGUGUCAGGUGGGCAGUUUGACUGGGGCGGUCGCCUCCUAAAGUGUAACGGAGGCGCCCAAAGGUUCCCUCAGAAUGGUUGGAAAUCAUUCGUAGAGUGCAAAGGCAUAAGGGAGCUUGACUGCGAGACCUACAAGUCGAGCAGGGACGAAAGUCGGGCUUAGUGAUCCGGUGGUUCCGCAUGGAAGGGCCAUCGCUCAACGGAUAAAAGCUACCCCGGGGAUAACAGGCUUAUCUCCCCCAAGAGUCCACAUCGACGGGGAGGUUUGGCACCUCGAUGUCGGCUCAUCGCAUCCUGGGGCUGUAGUCGGUCCCAAGGGUUGGGCUGUUCGCCCAUUAAAGCGGUACGCGAGCUGGGUUCAGAACGUCGUGAGACAGUUCGGUCCCUAUCCGUCGUGGGCGUAGGAAAUUUGAGAGGAGCUGUCCUUAGUACGAGAGGACCGGGAUGGACGCACCGCUGGUGUACCAGUUGUUCUGCCAAGGGCAUAGCUGGGUAGCUAUGUGCGGAAGGGAUAAGUGCUGAAAGCAUCUAAGCAUGAAGCCCCCCUCAAGAUGAGAUUUCCCAUAGCGUAAGCUAGUAAGAUCCCUGAAAGAUGAUCAGGUUGAUAGGUUCGAGGUGGAAGCAUGGUGACAUGUGGAGCUGACGAAUACUAAUAGAUCGAGGACUUAACCAUAUAA
rnacentral:rRNA from 1 species